AGCCAAAUGGUUUAAUCAGGAACUUUAUAAUUCCAAAAAGCUCCUCAAAUUUUAGCUGCAGUCAAAGCUCUAGGAAAAGGCUAUUUAACCAGAAACUGUCAGUUAUCUGGAGGCUGAGCAGGUCUGAAGCCUAAAUUCUAUGGAUCUGCAGAGCACACAUUCUGUAGAGGUUGUCAUAUCCUCCGUCUGCAGCUAAUUAGCUGGCAACACUUACAAGUUGUACCAGACCACAGCAUGUCUUUGCAAUCAGUCAGCUGCUCAGAAAGACUAAAGGACCCAGGAAUCCAAGAAGCUUUCUGCAUUAAUGAGGAGGAGGAGCAAGCACAAUCAGAAUGUUAUCUGAGUUUUCCUGCUGGCAUGCUCUGCCACAUCACCCCCUCCUGCCACAGACUUCCAGAGAGUUUAAAGGCUCUUCUGCAGCAUAAAUGA
rnacentral:lncRNA from 1 species